CACAUAGGCCACUCCGCCAAUAUAAUACGCUGCAUCCGCGAGUACUCAGGCCACCCGUAGUCCCGGUUGGAGAGUUAAGUGAGUGAAGUCACAUAAUCAUCCAAGGGGCCCACGUGCGCCAUUGUGUAGCCACUCCCAUAUCGCGCACACGAAGGGAGGGGGAGAAAGAAGAUGAUACCGAGUCACAUUUCGUGACAGACCACGUAGGCAACACAGGCAAAUCAUGAGAGGCCCCAAAUCGCAAAUCGUUGGGUCAUACCAAUGAGGAAAUGCAGUAAGGACGGUUGGGUGCGCAAGGCACGGAGCCCGCCUUUACAAGCAAAUAUCAUGCAACUUAUGUGCCGUCACGGUCAUUCUACCGUACAUCACCCCAUCGCCCAAAUGCAUGUCUACCACAGAGAUAGUGCAAAGGGGUCAAAUGAAGCAGUCAACAGUUGAACUCCGC
rnacentral:misc_RNA from 1 species